GACAGAGGGUGCGAACGUUGUUCGGAAUUACUGGGCGUAAAGCGCGUGUAGGCGGUCGUGCAAGUCGGGUGUGAAAGCCCUGGGCUCAACCCAGGAAGUGCAUUCGAUACUGCUCGACUGGAGUCCCGGAGAGGAUGGUGGAACUCUCGGUGUAGAGGUGAAAUUCGUAGAUAUCGAGAAGAACACCGGUGGCGAAGGCGGCCAUCUGGACGGUGACUGACGCUGAGACGCGAAAGCGUGGGGAGCAAACAGG
rnacentral:rRNA from 1 species